UAUUAACAGCGAGAAGACGGGACAAGAG
rnacentral:piRNA from 1 species